GCCUACGGGGGGCAGCAGUAGGGAAUCUUCCACAAUGGGCGAAAGCCUGAUGGAGCAACGCCGCGUGGGUGAAGAAGGUCUUCGAAUCGUAAAACCCUGUUGUUAGAGAAGAAAGUGCGUGAGAGUAACUGUUCACGUUUCGACGGUAUCUAACCAGAAAGCCACGGCUAACUACGUGCCAGCAGCCGCGGUAAUACGUAGGUGGCAAGCGUUAUCCGGAUUUAUUGGGCGUAAAGGGAACGCAGGCGGUCUUUUAAGUCUGAUGUGAAAGCCUUCGGCUUAACCGGAGUAGUGCAUUGGAAACU
rnacentral:rRNA from 1 species